AAGUUUGUAUGCAUAAUUAUCAGCAUUCAAGGUUUCUCGGAUAAAAAAGGUCCAAUUAUUUGAUUUUUAUACAUUCCGCACCACACGUUUGUUUUGAACGAAUAUUGGUCCUGAGUUUUCAACGUAAAAUUAAGGUGUGACUCAACCAAACUGUCAUACAGUAUUUUUUUACAUUUAAAGCUCAAAAAUUGGCUUACUUACUUAAAUCGAAAUAGGAUACUCCGAAGUUUUUUAGUUAAAUAUUCCAUAUGAUGGUUCCAUCGUUUUAUUUUAAAAUCUUGUUGGAUAUUAAGAUUGUAUUUUGGCAGAGACGUUUCAUGACUACUGAAGGUAAAUCACAGUAUCGUCCGCGAAGCUGAUUAUUUUUCCAAUUGUUUCCUGUUCAAAUAGAUUAUUUAAGUAAAUUACGAAAAGCACCGGCCCCAAUACUGUUCCUUGAGGUACACCACAUUUAAUGUUGAUCUCUUCACUCACAUGAUUUUUGAAUUUAGUUUUUUGUGUUCUGUUUGUUAGAUAACUUUUGAAUAAAUUAUGAGCUAAACCCCUUACACCCAUAUCUUCUAGUGUAUCUAAAAGCAUGGAGUGGUCGACAGUAUCGAAGGCCUUUUUUAGAUCCAAAAAAACCCCAAUAGAUGGAGUGCUUGAAUCCAAGGAUUCGUAGAUGGUUUUUGUCAAGGAAUGGAUUGCAUCAUUGGUAGAUUUUUUUUCUCUAAAGCCAUACUGGGAUGUCGACAACAGAUUAAAAUUUGAUAGAUCCAGUUCAAAGGACUAAAAAAAGAUUUAUUAAACAAGAUAAUUGCAACUGAAGUGUUGUACUACUGAGCGCUCGUACAACCAUUUUAAUCGCAG